rnacentral:rRNA from 1 species
UACGGAGGAUGCGAGCGUUAUCCGGAUUUAUUGGGUUUAAAGGGUGCGUAGGCGGCUUUUUAAGUCAGCGGUGAAAUUUUGCAGCUUAACUGUAACAGUGCCGUUGAUACUGUUUGGCUAGGAUUUGGUUGUAGUGUGCGGAAUGUGUGGUGUAGCGGUGAAAUGCUUAGAGAUCACACAGAAUAUCGAUUGCGAAGGCAGCUCACAAAGCCAAGAUUGACGCUGAGGCACGAAAGUGUGGGGAUCAAACAGGAUUA